AGAGUUUGAUCCUGGCUCAGGAUGAACGCUGGCGGCGUGCCUAAUACAUGCAAGUCGAGCGAACGGACGAGAAGCUUGCUUCUCUGAUGUUAGCGGCGGACGGGUGAGUAACACGUGGAUAACCUACCUAUAAGACUGGGAUAACUCCGGGAAACCGGAGCUAAUACCGGAUAAUAUUUUGAACCGCAUGGUUCAAAAGUGAAAGACGGUCUUGCUGUCACUUAUAGAUGGAUCCGCGCUGCAUUAGCUAGUUGGUAAGGUAACGGCUUACCAAGGCAACGAUGCAUAGCCGACCUGAGAGGGUGAUCGGCCACACUGGAACUGAGACACGGUCCAGACUCCUACGGGAGGCAGCAGUAGGGAAUCUUCCGCAAUGGGCGAAAGCCUGACGGAGCAACGCCGCGUGAGUGAUGAAGGUCUUCGGAUCGUAAAACUCUGUUAUUAGGGAAGAACAUAUGUGUAAGUAACUGUGCACAUCUUGACGGUACCUAAUCAGAAAGCCACGGCUAACUACGUGCCAGCAGCCGCGGUAAUACGUAGGUGGCAAGCGUUAUCCGGAAUUAUUGGGCGUAAAGCGCGCGUAGGCGGUUUUUUAAGUCUGAUGUGAAAGCCCACGGCUCAACCGUGGAGGGUCAUUGGAAACUGGAAAACUUGAGUGCAGAAGAGGAAAGUGGAAUUCCAUGUGUAGCGGUGAAAUGCGCAGAGAUAUGGAGGAACACCAGUGGCGAAGGCGACUUUCUGGUCUGUAACUGACGCUGAUGUGCGAAAGCGUGGGGAUCAAACAGGAUUAGAUACCCUGGUAGUCCACGCCGUAAACGAUGAGUGCUAAGUGUUAGGGGGUUUCCGCCCCUUAGUGCUGCAGCUAACGCAUUAAGCACUCCGCCUGGGGAGUACGACCGCAAGGUUGAAACUCAAAGGAAUUGACGGGGACCCGCACAAGCGGUGGAGCAUGUGGUUUAAUUCGAAGCAACGCGAAGAACCUUACCAAAUCUUGACAUCCUUUGACAACUCUAGAGAUAGAGCCUUCCCCUUCGGGGGACAAAGUGACAGGUGGUGCAUGGUUGUCGUCAGCUCGUGUCGUGAGAUGUUGGGUUAAGUCCCGCAACGAGCGCAACCCUUAAGCUUAGUUGCCAUCAUUAAGUUGGGCACUCUAAGUUGACUGCCGGUGACAAACCGGAGGAAGGUGGGGAUGACGUCAAAUCAUCAUGCCCCUUAUGAUUUGGGCUACACACGUGCUACAAUGGACAAUACAAAGGGCAGCGAAACCGCGAGGUCAAGCAAAUCCCAUAAAGUUGUUCUCAGUUCGGAUUGUAGUCUGCAACUCGACUACAUGAAGCUGGAAUCGCUAGUAAUCGUAGAUCAGCAUGCUACGGUGAAUACGUUCCCGGGUCUUGUACACACCGCCCGUCACACCACGAGAGUUUGUAACACCCGAAGCCGGUGGAGUAACCUUUUAGGAGCUAGCCGUCGAAGGUGGGACAAAUGAUUGGGGUGAAGUCGUAACAAGGUAGCCGUAUCGGAAGGUGCGGCUGGAUCACCU
rnacentral:rRNA from 3 species